GCCCAUCUAGCUCAGUUGGUAGAGCGCAAGGCUCUUAACCUUGUAGUCGUGGGUUCGAGCCCCACGGUGGGCA
rfam:Picea glauca, whole genome shotgun sequence.